rfam:Heterorhabditis bacteriophora unplaced genomic scaffold Scaffold1079, whole genome shotgun sequence.
UUAGGAUAUGGCGAUAUGGUUCCGUCAACGGUAAUGGGGAAGAUUGUGGGAGGCAUUUGUUCUCUUUCUGGUGUUCUCGUCAUAGCCCUACCUGUACCUGUAGGUCGAUUUUUAU